CCCAGCAAGUCUGGGGAGUCACAGCUCCUAAAUGGGCCCCUCCGAGGUGGCAACUUCUCUUCCCAGGGCCCCAGCUUCCUUCUCUAGAAACUAGAGAGAUUAAAGGGCAUGGUCUAGGAAAGUCCCUGCAACCCUCAAUUUUGUGAUUCAUUAAUUACCAAGUUCUUCACCUGGCUUCCUGCUCUGCUCCCAACUGACCCUGGGCCAUGAACCCUGUGCUCUCGAAAGCAGCCACAUCCCGGGGAAGUGUGACUCCUCACCACGUGCGGAACACUCUAAGGGUGUCUCUGGGGUGACUGAGGGUCCAACCUGGGGGAGAGCUUUGCAAGCUGAUUACCCACAACCCCCUCGGCCGCCCCGACCUCCCAAGAUUGCUGCCUUGGCUUCUGGAGACCCACUUCCUGGGUUCCGCGCUCACUGAGCCACCAGGAUCUGGAGAGCAGACUGUAGACUAUCCUGACCGCCGCAGCUCUCAGCGGAGCAAGAAACUCCUGACUGGCACUGAGGGAGGUGCACAUGGGCCCCAGGGGCUGUUCACUGUGUUUUGAAAAUUGCAUUAACCGAGACAAGGGGAAGAAGAAGAAGAAAGCAAAGAAGAAGAAACAGAGAGGUGUGGGAUCCUUGCAACCCCUCCCCUGAAAUGUCCUCCUGUUUUG